GACAUUGGGUAAUCGAGCCUAACGGUUAGGAAAGUCCAUGCUAGCACAGACUGUGAUGUCUGUAGUGAUUGUGAUAGAGGAAACAAUAACUCUAUGCACGAAAGUGACGGCUGAGAAAGCACCUGUUAAAUGGUGUUAGUAUCUUUAAAAGUGCCACAGAGACGAGCUUCUAGGGAAACUUAGAAGGUGGAACGGGUAAACCCCGCAAGCUAGAAACCCAAAUUAAGGUAGGGGCACUCUAACGAGGGAAUCGAACCUCAAUGGAGACGCUUUUAGCGUAGAUAAAUGAUUACCACCUAGUAAUAGGUACAGAACAUGGCUUACAUAU
rnacentral:RNase_P_RNA from 1 species